rnacentral:misc_RNA from 1 species
AACUUUUAGCAACGGAUCACUUGGUUCUGGCAUCGAUGAAGAACGCAGCGAAAUGCGAUAAGUAAUGUGAAUUGCAGAAUUCAGUGAAUCGUCGAAUCUUUGAACGCACAUUGCGCCCGCCAGUAUUCUGGCGGGCAUGCCUGUUCGAGCGUCAUUUCAACCCUCAAGCCCCCGGGCUUGGUGUUGGGGAUCGGCGUGCCCUCGCGGCGCGCCGUCCCCGAAAUCUAGUGGCGGUCUCGCUGUAGCUUCCUCUGCGUAGUAGCAACACUCGCACUGGAUCGCGGCGCGGCCACGCCGUUAAACCCCCCACUUCUGAAAGGUUGACCUCGGAUCAGGUAGGAAUACCCGCUGAACUUAAGCAUAUCAAUAAGCGGAGGCU